rnacentral:rRNA from 1 species
AAUAAUGGCGAACAGGUGAGUAACACGUGAGUAACCCUGCCCUUGGCUCUGGGAUAAGCCUGGGAAACUGGGGUGUAAUACUGGAUACGACCUUCCCCCCGCAUGUGGUGUUGGUGGAAAGCUUUGUGUUUUUGGAUGGUCUCGCGGCCUAUCAGCUUGUUGGUGGGGUAAUGGCCUACCAAGGAGACGACGGGUAAACGACGUGAGAGGGUGGACGGCCAACACUGGGGCUGAGACACGGCCCAGCCUCCUACGGGAAACAGCGGUGGGGAAUAUUGCACAAUGGGCGCAAGCUUGAUGCAGCGACGCCGAGUGAGGGAUGAAGACCUUAGGGUUGUAAACCUCUUUCAGUAGGGAAGAAGCGAAAGUGCCGGUUCCGGCUGAAGAAGCGCCGCCAAAUUAAGUUCCCGCCGCCGCGGUAAUACGUAGGGGGCAAGGAUUAUCCGGAAUUAUUGGGGGU